rnacentral:misc_RNA from 1 species
UAUCGGGUUACAGAUGGUUUGUGAUCUUUAUUGAUUGUUGCAGUAAAUUAACUUGGGUAUAUUUGAUGAAUGCAAAGAAUGAAGUGUUCACUUGUUUUCGACAAUUUCACAUAAUGAUUUGUACCCAAUUUGAUGCAAAAGUUAAAAUCCUUAGAACAAAUAAUGGCACAGAAUAUGUUAAUGAUGUUUUUCGUGCUCAUGUGGAUUCAAAUUGUAUAGUGCAUCAAACUAGUUGUG